CCUACGGGUGGCAGCAGUGGGGAAUAUUGGGCAAUGGGCGCAAGCCUGACCCAGCAACGCCGCGUGAAGGAAGAAGGCUUUCGGGUUGUAAACUUCUUUUCUCAGGGACGAAGAAAGUGACGGUACCUGAGGAAUAAGCCACGGCUAACUACGUGCCAGCAGCCGCGGCAAUACGGAGGUGGCAAGCGUUAUCCGGAUUUAUUGGGUGUACAGGGCGAGUAGGCGGGAACGGAAGUUAGAGGUGAAAAAUCAGGGGUCAACGCUGGAACUGGCUUUGAACAUGUGUUGCUUGAGAGCUGGUGCGGCAGGCGGAAUGCAUUGUGGAGCGGUGAAAUGCUGAGAGAUACGUAAGAACACCGGUUGCGAAGGCAGAUUGCUAAGC
rnacentral:rRNA from 1 species